CGCCCCGCUGCCUGGCUGCUGAGAGUUGCUCCUGCCGCUGGGGGGGAAACCGAGCUCUGUGGCUCCAGGGGUGUUGUCCACCCGCCUGUAAUCAGGGUCUGGGUGCGUGAGCGUUUGUGCUCUGCUGGCAGCCUGUGUGGGGUGACCGCCCCGCUAGCGGGGUGUGGGUCGAGGUGCCCCGGACUGGGAGAGAAGGAGCCUCCCUCGGCCGUAGGGAUGGGGGCUGCCCUGUAAGUCAGGGAGCAUCUGUGUCCCGGAGUCCCAGGCCCUUUUCAAUGGCGGCAGUGGCCGGGGGUCCCCUGUAAGCAGGGAAGCUGACUCUUUGGCUGCUGCUUUUUGUGUGCCCAGCCCCAUUUGCCCAGUCUGCCCGCCUCUGUGAUCCCCCGCAGCACUGGCUGGAAGUCCGCCGCGUGUCAGUGAGGAGCUGCUGCAGAAGGAAGAAGAAGAAGCAGCGUGGGACCUGGGAGGCAGGAGCAAGCAAGAAGAGGAAGCGGAAGCGUGCAGAUGCGGGGGGGAAGGAGAGAGGCUCCCUGGGCAAAGCACCUGUCCCGUUAGCAGGGGCACAGUCACGUUUGAGUUGAGAGCUGCCGGCGCCUUUGGUGACCAGGCUGGCGUUGUGCUGGGCGACCUCCCCGUAAGCGGGGCUCGGGUCUUUGCUGUAGUUGGCCUUUUGCCUUGCUGCUCCUUUGGCUGCCUGGGGAGCGUGGCCCCCUGUAACGGAGGGCGAGAGCCACCUCUCCGCACCUGAGUGGGAAAUGGAGCUCGCCGGACCCCAAGGCCACCCUGUAAGCAGGGUAGUGCCGUUUCCCUGCCCCUCUUCCUCCCCCGGCCCCUCGGCAUCGUUGCCUGAUGGUGGCUUGUCAAUGCGACGGCCCCGUACUCGGGGUGUGCGUCACGGCAUUUGGCCGUUGGCUUUAUCUGAGAAGCCCCUUGGCACGUUGAGGUCCGUGGCCUCCGUGCAGCCUAGGGACAGGUCACAGGCUCUUGUCUGUUGCCCGUGGUUGUGGGUUUAUUCCCAGGUGUUGGCUGUGCUGCGUUGUCCUUCCCUUCUGGAAAGUUGUGCCUGUGUGUGCGUGUUCCCCUUCCUUUCCUUGUUUGUGUUUGUGGAGUGGUUGAGCGGCUGUGCUUUCCCUUUAGGCCUCCACAAAGAUGGCUGCAGCUUAGCUUUGACUUCCCAGGGGGGAAUGGAGGACUUUGGUGCAUGCCGCAAAAGGGGUGUUCCCUCUUAGUCCUGCGAGCGCAGCGAGUGUCCUGUCUUCCUACUAUUUUCCUUAGUGCAGAUCAGAGCCACACGGUAGUUCUGUGGCCAAGGCCUCCCUGUAGCCAGGGCUUGGGCCUGUCCUUGCGUGGCCGCCUGUCCUGCUGGCGGCGGUGACAGCCCCGUACUCGGGGUGUGUGUCCCAAGCUUUGGAGCCCUCUGUCCCUGAGCAGCCCGCCCGCCCUGUAAUCAGGUGUGGGGAGGCUGCAGCGUUGCAGCCGGCUGCUUUAGCCAUCCAGCUGGUGGGAGUGACCCCUCCCUGUCCCGUCAGAGGGUGCAGGUUGAGGUGCUGUUUGUGUGUGGGGUGACCUCCCCGCUCGGUGGGUCGAGGUAGCUCCCUGGGCUUCCAAAGACGAGGCGUUGGUGAUGUUCUGCUGCUGCCGGGCGGGCCAGCCUGUAACUCAGGCGUUGGCGGGAGCCUCGUGCUCCGCGGGGCUUCUUGAAGAGGGUGAGGUGUGGGGGUACCGUCCUGUAGGCAGGGCUGUGUGUGCCCCCCGUGUGUGCUUGGUGAGCUGCGUUCUGAGAGACCCCCUGUACUCAGGUGGGAAUGUGGCCCCGGCCUUUCAGAGGCGCGGGGCCGUGAGAUGUGGGGUGGGGCUUGCGCCCUCCCUGGAAUCGGGGCUGGGAUCCCGACUGCGGCCUUUGGCCGUGCCGCCCCGCUGCCUGGCUGCUGAGAGUUGCUCCUGCCGCUGGGGGGGAAACCGAGCUCUGUGGCUCCAGGGGUGUUGUCCACCCGCCUGUAAUCAGGGUCUGGGUGCGUGAGCGUUUGUGCUCUGCUGGCAGCCUGUGUGGGGUGACCGCCCCGCUAGCGGGGUGUGGGUCGAGGUGCCCCGGACUGGGAGAGAAGGAGCCUCCCUCGGCCGUAGGGAUGGGGGCUGCCCUGUAAGUCAGGGAGCAUCUGUGUCCCGGAGUCCCAGGCCCUUUUCAAUGGCGGCAGUGGCCGGGGGUCCCCUGUAAGCAGGGAAGCUGACUCUUUGGCUGCUGCUUUUUGUGUGCCCAGCCCCAUUUGCCCAGUCUGCCCGCCUCUGUGAUCCCCCGCAGCACUGGCUGGAAGUCCGCCGCGUGUCAGUGAGGAGCUGCUGCAGAAGGAAGAAGAAGAAGCGGCGUGGGACCUGGGAGGCAGGAGCAAGCAAGAAGAGGAAGCGGAAGCGUGCAGAUGCGGGGGGGAAGGAGAGAGGCUCCCUGGGCAAAGCACCUGUCCCGUUAGCAGGGGCACAGUCACGUUUGAGUUGAGAGCUGCCGGCGCCUUUGGUGACCAGGCUGGCGUUGUGCUGGGCGACCUCCCCGUAAGCGGGGCUCGGGUCUUUGCUGUAGUUGGCCUUUUGCCUUGCUGCUCCUUUGGCUGCCUGGGGAGCGUGGCCCCCUGUAACGGAGGGCGAGAGCCACCUCUCCGCACCUGAGUGGGAAAUGGAGCUCGCCGGACCCCAAGGCCACCCUGUAAGCAGGGUAGUGCCGUUUCCCUGCCCCUCUUCCUCCCCCGGCCCCUCGGCAUCGUUGCCUGAUGGUGGCUUGUCAAUGCGACGGCCCCGUACUCGGGGUGUGUGUCCCAAGCUUUGGAGCCCUCUGUCCCUGAGCAGCCCGCCCGCCCUGUAAUCAGGUGUGGGGAGGCUGCAGCGUUGCAGCCGGCUGCUUUAGCCAUCCAGCUGGUGGGAGUGACCCCUCCCUGUCCCGUCAGAGGGUGCAGGUUGAGGUGCUGUUUGUGUGUGGGGUGACCUCCCCGCUCGGUGGGUCGAGGUAGCUCCCUGGGCUUCCAAAGACGAGACGUUGGUGAUGUUCUGCUGCUGCCGGGCGGGCCAGCCUGUAACUCAGGCGUUGGCGGGAGCCUCGUGCUCCGCGGGGCUUCUUGAAGAGGGUGAGGUGUGGGGGUACCGUCCUGUAGGCAGGGCUGUGUGUGCCCCCCGUGUGUGCUUGGUGAGCUGCGUUCUGAGAGACCCCCUGUACUCAGGUGGGAAUGUGGCCCCGGCCUUUCAGAGGCGCGGGGCCGUGAGAUGCGGGGUGGGGCUUGCGCCCUCCCUGGAAUCGGGGCUGGGAUCCCGACUGCGGCCUUUGGCCGUGCCGCCCCGCUGCCUGGCUGCUGAGAGUUGCUCCUGCCGCUGGGGGGGAAACCGAGCUCUGUGGCUCCAGGGGUGUUGUCCACCCGCCUGUAAUCAGGGUCUGGGUGCGUGAGCGUUUGUGCUCUGCUGGCAGCCUGUGUGGGGUGACCGCCCCGCUAGCGGGGUGUGGGUCGAGGUGCCCCGGACUGGGAGAGAAGGAGCCUCCCUCGGCCGUAGGGAUGGGGGCUGCCCUGUAAGUCAGGGAGCAUCUGUGUCCCGGAGUCCCAGGCCCUUUUCAAUGGCGGCAGUGGCCGGGGGUCCCCUGUAAGCAGGGAAGCUGACUCUUUGGCUGCUGCUUUUUGUGUGCCCAGCCCCAUUUGCCCAGUCUGCCCGCCUCUGUGAUCCCCCGCAGCACUGGCUGGAAGUCCGCCGCGUGUCAGUGAGGAGCUGCUGCAGAAGGAAGAAGAAGAAGCGGCGUGGGGACCUGGGAGGCAGGAGCAAGCAAGAAGAGGAAGCGGAAGCGUGCAGAUGCGGGGGGGAAGGAGAGAGGCUCCCUGGGCAAAGCACCUGUCCCGUUAGCAGGGGCACAGUCACGUUUGAGUUGAGAGCUGCCGGCGCCUUUGGUGACCAGGCUGGCGUUGUGCUGGGCGACCUCCCCGUAAGCGGGGCUCGGGUCUUUGCUGUAGUUGGCCUUUUGCCUUGCUGCUCCUUUGGCUGCCUGGGGAGCGUGGCCCCCUGUAACGGAGGGCGAGAGCCACCUCUCCGCACCUGAGUGGGAAAUGGAGCUCGCCGGACCCCAAGGCCACCCUGUAAGCAGGGUAGUGCCGUUUCCCUGCCCCUCUUCCUCCCCCGGCCCCUCGGCAUCGUUGCCUGAUGGUGGCUUGUCAAUGCGACGGCCCCGUACUCGGGGUGUGCGUCACGGCAUUUGGCCGUUGGCUUUAUCUGAGAAGCCCCUUGGCACGUUGAGGUCCGUGGCCUCCGUGCAGCCUAGGGACAGGUCACAGGCUCUUGUCUGUUGCCCGUGGUUGUGGGUUUAUUCCCAGGUGUUGGCUGUGCUGCGUUGUCCUUCCCUUCUGGAAAGUCGUGCCUGUGUGUGCGUGUUCCCCUUCCUUUCCUUGUUUGUGUUUGUGGAGUGGUUGAGCGGCUGUGCUUUCCCUUUAGGCCUCCACAAAGAUGGCUGCAGCUUAGCUUUGACUUCCCAGGGGGGAAUGGAGGACUUUGGUGCAUGCCGCAAAAGGGGUGUUCCCUCUUAGUCCUGCGAGCGCAGCGAGUGUCCUGUCUUCCUACUAUUUUCCUUAGUGCAGAUCAGAGCCACACGGUAGUUCUGUGGCCAAGGCCUCCCUGUAGCCAGGGCUUGGGCCUGUCCUUGCGUGGCCGCCUGUCCUGCUGGCGGCGGUGACAGCCCCGUACUCGGGGUGUGUGUCCCAAGCUUUGGAGCCCUCUGUCCCUGAGCAGCCCGCCCGCCCUGUAAUCAGGUGUGGGGAGGCUGCAGCGUUGCAGCCGGCUGCUUUAGCCAUCCAGCUGGUGGGAGUGACCCCUCCCUGUCCCGUCAGAGGGUGCAGGUUGAGGUGCUGUUUGUGUGUGGGGUGACCUCCCCGCUCGGUGGGUCGAGGUAGCUCCCUGGGCUUCCAAAGACGAGACGUUGGUGAUGUUCUGCUGCUGCCGGGCGGGCCAGCCUGUAACUCAGGCGUUGGCGGGAGCCUCGUGCUCCGCGGGGCUUCUUGAAGAGGGUGAGGUGUGGGGGUACCGUCCUGUAGGCAGGGCUGUGUGUGCCCCCCGUGUGUGCUUGGUGAGCUGCGUUCUGAGAGACCCCCUGUACUCAGGUGGGAAUGUGGCCCCGGCCUUUCAGAGGCGCGGGGCCGUGAGAUGCGGGGUGGGGCUUGCGCCCUCCCUGGAAUCGGGGCUGGGAUCCCGACUGCGGCCUUUGGCCGUGCCGCCCCGCUGCCUGGCUGCUGAGAGUUGCUCCUGCCGCUGGGGGGGAAACCGAGCUCUGUGGCUCCAGGGGUGUUGUCCACCCGCCUGUAAUCAGGGUCUGGGUGCGUGAGCGUUUGUGCUCUGCUGGCAGCCUGUGUGGGGUGACCGCCCCGCUAGCGGGGUGUGGGUCGAGGUGCCCCGGACUGGGAGAGAAGGAGCCUCCCUCGGCCGUAGGGAUGGGGGCUGCCCUGUAAGUCAGGGAGCAUCUGUGUCCCGGAGUCCCAGGCCCUUUUCAAUGGCGGCAGUGGCCGGGGGUCCCCUGUAAGCAGGGAAGCUGACUCUUUGGCUGCUGCUUUUUGUGUGCCCAGCCCCAUUUGCCCAGUCUGCCCGCCUCUGUGAUCCCCCGCAGCACUGGCUGGAAGUCCGCCGCGUGUCAGUGAGGAGCUGCUGCAGAAGGAAGAAGAAGAAGCAGCGUGGGACCUGGGAGGCAGGAGCAAGCAAGAAGAGGAAGCGGAAGCGUGCAGAUGCGGGGGGGAAGGAGAGAGGCUCCCUGGGCAAAGCACCUGUCCCGUUAGCAGGGGCACAGUCACGUUUGAGUUGAGAGCUGCCGGCGCCUUUGGUGACCAGGCUGGCGUUGUGCUGGGCGACCUCCCCGUAAGCGGGGCUCGGGUCUUUGCUGUAGUUGGCCUUUUGCCUUGCUGCUCCUUUGGCUGCCUGGGGAGCGUGGCCCCCUGUAACGGAGGGCGAGAGCCACCUCUCCGCACCUGAGUGGGAAAUGGAGCUCGCCGGACCCCAAGGCCACCCUGUAAGCAGGGUAGUGCCGUUUCCCUGCCCCUCUUCCUCCCCCGGCCCCUCGGCAUCGUUGCCUGAUGGUGGCUUGUCAAUGCGACGGCCCCGUACUCGGGGUGUGUGUCCCAAGCUUUGGAGCCCUCUGUCCCUGAGCAGCCCGCCCGCCCUGUAAUCAGGUGUGGGGAGGCUGCAGCGUUGCAGCCGGCUGCUUUAGCCAUCCAGCUGGUGGGAGUGACCCCUCCCUGUCCCGUCAGAGGGUGCAGGUUGAGGUGCUGUUUGUGUGUGGGGUGACCUCCCCGCUCGGUGGGUCGAGGUAGCUCCCUGGGCUUCCAAAGACGAGACGUUGGUGAUGUUCUGCUGCUGCCGGGCGGGCCAGCCUGUAACUCAGGCGUUGGCGGGAGCCUCGUGCUCCGCGGGGCUUCUUGAAGAGGGUGAGGUGUGGGGGUACCGUCCUGUAGGCAGGGCUGUGUGUGCCCCCCGUGUGUGCUUGGUGAGCUGCGUUCUGAGAGACCCCCUGUACUCAGGUGGGAAUGUGGCCCCGGCCUUUCAGAGGCGCGGGGCCGUGAGAUGCGGGGUGGGGCUUGCGCCCUCCCUGGAAUCGGGGCUGGGAUCCCGACUGCGGCCUUUGGCCGUGCCGCCCCGCUGCCUGGCUGCUGAGAGUUGCUCCUGCCGCUGGGGGGGAAACCGAGCUCUGUGGCUCCAGGGGUGUUGUCCACCCGCCUGUAAUCAGGGUCUGGGUGCGUGAGCGUUUGUGCUCUGCUGGCAGCCUGUGUGGGGUGACCGCCCCGCUAGCGGGGUGUGGGUCGAGGUGCCCCGGACUGGGAGAGAAGGAGCCUCCCUCGGCCGUAGGGAUGGGGGCUGCCCUGUAAGUCAGGGAGCAUCUGUGUCCCGGAGUCCCAGGCCCUUUUCAAUGGCGGCAGUGGCCGGGGGUCCCCUGUAAGCAGGGAAGCUGACUCUUUGGCUGCUGCUUUUUGUGUGCCCAGCCCCAUUUGCCCAGUCUGCCCGCCUCUGUGAUCCCCCGCAGCACUGGCUGGAAGUCCGCCGCGUGUCAGUGAGGAGCUGCUGCAGAAGGAAGAAGAAGAAGCGGCGUGGGGACCUGGGAGGCAGGAGCAAGCAAGAAGAGGAAGCGGAAGCGUGCAGAUGCGGGGGGGAAGGAGAGAGGCUCCCUGGGCAAAGCACCUGUCCCGUUAGCAGGGGCACAGUCACGUUUGAGUUGAGAGCUGCCGGCGCCUUUGGUGACCAGGCUGGCGUUGUGCUGGGCGACCUCCCCGUAAGCGGGGCUCGGGUCUUUGCUGUAGUUGGCCUUUUGCCUUGCUGCUCCUUUGGCUGCCUGGGGAGCGUGGCCCCCUGUAACGGAGGGCGAGAGCCACCUCUCCGCACCUGAGUGGGAAAUGGAGCUCGCCGGACCCCAAGGCCACCCUGUAAGCAGGGUAGUGCCGUUUCCCUGCCCCUCUUCCUCCCCCGGCCCCUCGGCAUCGUUGCCUGAUGGUGGCUUGUCAAUGCGACGGCCCCGUACUCGGGGUGUGCGUCACGGCAUUUGGCCGUUGGCUUUAUCUGAGAAGCCCCUUGGCACGUUGAGGUCCGUGGCCUCCGUGCAGCCUAGGGACAGGUCACAGGCUCUUGUCUGUUGCCCGUGGUUGUGGGUUUAUUCCCAGGUGUUGGCUGUGCUGCGUUGUCCUUCCCUUCUGGAAAGUUGUGCCUGUGUGUGCGUGUUCCCCUUCCUUUCCUUGAUUGUGUUUGUGGAGUGGUUGAGCGGCUGUGCUUUCCCUUUAGGCCUCCACAAAGAUGGCUGCAGCUUAGCUUUGACUUCCCAGGGGGGAAUGGAGGACUUUGGUGCAUGCCGCAAAAGGGGUGUUCCCUCUUAGUCCUGCGAGCGCAGCGAGUGUCCUGUCUUCCUACUAUUUUCCUUAGUGCAGAUCAGAGCCACACGGUAGUUCUGUGGCCAAGGCCUCCCUGUAGCCAGGGCUUGGGCCUGUCCUUGCGUGGCUGCCUGUCCUGCUGGCGGCGGUGACAGCCCCGUACUCGGGGUGUGUGUCCCAAGCUUUGGAGCCCUCUGUCCCUGAGCAGCCCGCCCGCCCUGUAAUCAGGUGUGGGGAGGCUGCAGCGUUGCAGCCGGCUGCUUUAGCCAUCCAGCUGGUGGGAGUGACCCCUCCCUGUCCCGUCAGAGGGUGCAGGUUGAGGUGCUGUUUGUGUGUGGGGUGACCUCCCCGCUCGGUGGGUCGAGGUAGCUCCCUGGGCUUCCAAAGACGAGGCGUUGGUGAUGUUCUGCUGCUGCCGGGCGGGCCAGCCUGUAACUCAGGCGUUGGCGGGAGCCUCGUGCUCCGCGGGGCUUCUUGAAGAGGGUGAGGUGUGGGGGUACCGUCCUGUAGGCAGGGCUGUGUGUGCCCCCCGUGUGUGCUUGGUGAGCUGCGUUCUGAGAGACCCCCUGUACUCAGGUGGGAAUGUGGCCCCGGCCUUUCAGAGGCGCGGGGCCGUGAGAUGUGGGGUGGGGCUUGCGCCCUCCCUGGAAUCGGGGCUGGGAUCCCGACUGCGGCCUUUGGCCGUGCCGCCCCGCUGCCUGGCUGCUGAGAGUUGCUCCUGCCGCUGGGGGGGAAACCGAGCUCUGUGGCUCCAGGGGUGUUGUCCACCCGCCUGUAAUCAGGGUCUGGGUGCGUGAGCGUUUGUGCUCUGCUGGCAGCCUGUGUGGGGUGACCGCCCCGCUAGCGGGGUGUGGGUCGAGGUGCCCCGGACUGGGAGAGAAGGAGCCUCCCUCGGCCGUAGGGAUGGGGGCUGCCCUGUAAGUCAGGGAGCAUCUGUGUCCCGGAGUCCCAGGCCCUUUUCAAUGGCGGCAGUGGCCGGGGGUCCCCUGUAAGCAGGGAAGCUGACUCUUUGGCUGCUGCUUUUUGUGUGCCCAGCCCCAUUUGCCCAGUCUGCCCGCCUCUGUGAUCCCCCGCAGCACUGGCUGGAAGUCCGCCGCGUGUCAGUGAGGAGCUGCUGCAGAAGAAAGAAGAAGCGGCGUGGGGACCUGGGCUGCAAAAUCAAGAUGGGGUAUCUGUUGACUGUUUUUCUUGUAUUUCUUUGCCUUUUGGAGCCACAGUUUUGAACGGUUUUGUAAGACUUUAUCACUCUUUUUGUCAGCGUCGUCAGCUGUGAAUAAAGUUUUUUUUCCAUGUUGUUUUUCCUGUUA